rnacentral:rRNA from 1 species
AUGAACGCUGGCGGCGCGCCUAACACAUGCCAGUCGAACGGUUAAAGCACCUUUUAGGUGUGUAUAAAGUGGCGAACGGCUGAGUAACACGUGGGCAACCUGCCCUCCUCUUGGGGAUAGCCUCGGGAAACCGAGGAUAAUACCCGAUACUUCAAUGUGGCCGCAUGACGACAUUGAGAAAGCUUUUGCGGAGAAGGAUGGGCCCGCGGCCUGUUAGCUUGUUGGUGGGGUAGAGGCCUACCAAGGCAAUGAUGGGUAGCUGGGUUGAGAGACCGACCAGCCAGAUUGGGACUGAGACACGGCCCAGACUCCUACGGGAGGCAGCAGUGGGGAAUCUUGCACAAUGGGCGAAAGCCUGAUGCAGCGACGCCGCGUGCGGGACGAAGGCCUUCGGGUUGUAAACCGCUUUCAGCAGGGACGAGGCGAUAAGUGACGGUACCUGCAGAAGAAGCCCCGGCUAACUACGUG